AUGUCUGUCUGGCAGUGGGUGCCUGGGGGGCAAGCGCCACGUCACGCGGGGACACGGGGGACAUGGGCACAGCGGGGACAUGGGCACGGUGGGGGCGCGGGCACGGCUGGGACAUGGGCAUGGCAGGAGACAGAGACCAGCUUCAGGGGUCCCCAGGGUGGUCCCAGUGUCCCCAAGGUGGUCAGGUCAUCCCCACGGUGGUCGGGGCGUCCCCAUGGCAGUCCCGGUGUCCCCAGGAUGGUCAGGGCAUCCCCGCAGUGGUUGGGGCAUCCCUGCGAUGAUCCCAGUGUCCCCAGGGUGGCUGGGACAUCUCCAGGGUGGCCAGGGCACCCCCAGGGUGGUCUCAGUGUCCCCAAGGUGGUCAGGGCAUCCCCAGGUGGUUCCGGUGUCCCCAGCGUGGUCAGGGCGUCCCUGUGGUGGUCCCAGUGUCCCCAGGGUGGCCAAGGCAUCCCCAGGGUGGUCCUGGUGUCCCCAGGGUGGCCAGAGCGUCCCCAGGGUGGUCAGGGUAUCCCCAGGCGAUCCUGGGGUCCCCAAGGUGACCGGGUUGUCCCCAGGGUGGUCAGGGCAUCUCCACGGUGGUCCUGGUGUCUCCAUGUCCAUCCCAGUGUCCCCAGGGUGACCGGGUUGUCCCCAGGGGGGUCAGGGCAUCCCCGUGGUGGUCCCAGUGUCCCCAGGGUGGCCGGGGUGUCCCCGCGGGGGCCGUACCCUGGUAUCCCUCCUUGCAGGCGCAGCGGUAGCCGCCGGCGUGGGGGCUGCAGGUGCCGCCGUGCUGGCAGGGCUGCGACUGGCACCCGUGGGUGCUGCGGGCGCAGGUGGGGCCGGCCCAGCCCGGCUCGCAGUCGCAGGCAAACCUGCGGAGAGGGUGGCGUGGGCGCCGGGCACCCCCACCCCGGGGCGGGCACCCUCGUCCCCCUCCCCCCGCCACCGCCACCCCCGGCCCCACUCACCCGUCGCCCAGGUCGCGGCAGGCGCCGUGGGCGCAGGGGCCGCUGCGGCAGGGCUCAGCACCCGGGUGGCACAGCGGGGCGCGGGUGCCCGGCGGGCACAGGCAGCGGAAGCCGUUCUCGCCGUCCACGCAGGUGCCGCCGUUGCGGCAGGGCUGCGAGGCGCACUCGUCGAUGUCCACGUCGCACUGGGGGCCUGGGCGGGGGGGCGGCACGGCGGGGGUGGGCACCCAGUGGUGGGCACCCAAUGUUGGGCGCUGCUGUGUGGCCACGGGCAUCUCCACGGGGCACCACGAGUGCAUCAUCCAUGGGGAACGGCCACAGGCAACCAUGGUGGGCGCCCAUGGUGGGCGUCCAAUGUUGGGCGCCGCUGUGUGGCCAUGGGCAUCUCCACAGAGCACCAUGA
rnacentral:lncRNA from 1 species